GACGAACGCUGGCGGUGUGCUUCACACAUGCAAGUCGAACGAGUGACUGCUUUGUAGCAAUACAAAGUAGAAGCUAGUGGCGGACGGGUGAGUAACGCGUAGGAAUCUGCCUUUGAGUGGGGGAUAGCAGACCGAAAGGUCUAUUAAUACCGCAUACGUAUAUACUUCGACAGUUGUAUAUAUAAAAGAGCAAUCUGCUCAUAGAUGAGCCUGCGUCCGAUUAGCUAGUUGGUAGUGUAAUAGACUACCAAGGCGACGAUCGGUAGGUGGUCUGAGAGGAUGAUCACCCACAAUGGAACUGAGACACGGUCCAUACUCCUACGGGAGGCAGCAGUGGGGAAUUUUGUGCAAUGGGCGAAAGCCUGACGCAGCGACGCCGCGUGAGGGAUGACGGCCU
rnacentral:rRNA from 1 species